rnacentral:rRNA from 1 species
AUUGAACGCUGGCGGCAGGCCUAACACAUGCAAGUCGAACGGCUGCACAGUACUUGCUUGUGCUUUCGGCUGCCGACUGGCGGACGAGUGCUAAAUAUAUCGCAAUCUGUUUUUUCUUAGGUCAUGACGUGGGGACUCUUACGCUAUUCCCCCAUACGACCUACGUGUGGAAUCUUCGGAUCUUCGGCUCUUGCAUGAUCCUAUGUCCCGUUGUCGGGUUAGCUAGUUGGCGGGGUAAAGGCCCACCAAGGCGUCGAUCCGUAGCUGGUCUGAGAGGAUGAUCAGCCACACUGGAACUGAGACACGGUCCAGACUCCUACGGGAGGCAGCAGUGGGGAAUAUUGGACAAUGGGCGCAAGCCUGAUCCAGCCAUACCGCGUGGGUGAAGAAGGCCUUCGGGUUGUAAAGCCCUUUUGUUGGGAAAGAAAAGCAGCAGGUUAAUACCCCGCUGUUCUGACGGUACCCAAAGAAUAAGCACCGGCUAACUUCGUG